rnacentral:lncRNA from 13 species
GAGUGCACGCGCAUACGUUCCCACGCAUGCGCAUUGCGAAAGUACACGAUUUGUGGGAGCGAGAAGUCGAUUUUCUAUCUCACUCUCUUGGCACACCCCCCACUCUCAAAAAGAGGCUGCGUUAGCAAUAUAGGAGUAUUACAUAUAUGUGUUUGCGUUGCCAUUAUGUUCCUAUAACCUAGUCUGCAUUCUCACGUUAAGUUUAAUAUGUCAAUAAAGAGAAAAGAGUUCCGUUUUCCACUUUCACUAAUUAAUUUAGAUCUCUGUUGCAGUUACGCAAUUCCCGACGACAUCGAGAUAUCGCCCCGUUACAUUGUACUGGAGUUGAUUUAUCCUAAGCUCAAUAUAUACAAUUUACAUGAAACAUGAUACUCUAUCAGUAAAGAUCGCACCUCCGAUACAUCCAGCUAGGAAAGCAAAUCAAGUUCAUCUUCAUAAUUUCAGAUUAUUUGCAUCCUUCAAGAUUAACAUCUUUAUGCAGAACGCUUGAUUAUUCUGUCUUGACUAAUCAAUCAAUUAUUCAAUUAUUAAAUUAUUCAUGCGCUUGAGUUUCUAUUAUUAUUUAAAUUCUAAUGAAUAAGUAAGUAGAGAACCUCA